CUUAGCAGAACUUUAUCUUUUUUAUCUUUCUUUUUGUGGUUUGACUGGUUUCUCAUCCCUCAAUCCAGUUUUUCAUACAUCCUUCAUCAGAGUGUCCAUAUAUUAAAAAACCUUAGCGUGUGAUUAUGCAGAAAUUAUGUUUCUUAUUAACACAUGGUUAAAUUAGGUUAAAAUAUGGUAACAUAUUAUCUAUAACCCAGGCGAGAAAGAGAAAUAGAAAGGGAGGAACACGACAACAAGGAUGCCGAGUGAUAGCUCACGUAUUCAUGUUGGUAGAGAGCCAAACAUGAAUAAUUUUUGCCCCCUUUGCAAAAAGUUGGCUUUUCCAGAAAGAUGAGAUUAUGGUUGUUACAGGAGCAGCAGUGCUACAUGAGAGGGGAGCAAUGGUGAAUGUGAUAGGGGAGGUGGCCGGUGGAUGGUCAAGUCGAUGGCAGUUUUAAGUGAUGCAGUAGAAUUUUCCUUGUCCUUCAUAACGAGGGUUUAUACCUAAGAGGCCUAUUGGCGGGCUUAGUGUACUAGUAGACUUAGUCUAUGACUAUAUAACUAAGCAUUGUGUUCUUAUCAUAGUUAGUUUUCUGCAUGGAAGAAUAAUGAAUAGCUUGGGAAAAGCUCCGGUGUUCUCUCUAUUAUCUAACCCUGCGGACAACCCUAGCAGGCCCAACCCUAGGCAUAAGCCCUCUAAGAGUAAGCCUAGUGCACCGAUUUUGGCCCAAAGUAGGGCACUCAUUUGGAAGAAGUUAUCCUGGUUCUUGAUCCAAGACAUUAUCAUGGUUCUUUUCGCCAGGGGAAGGAUAAGACAGAUAGUAAUUGUUGGACAUCUCCAAGCGGUGCAGCAUUUAUGAUCAGAGGGAAGACAUAUUUGAAAGAUAACACUAAGGUGGGUAUUUGUUGACAUCAGAAUUGUUUCACCGGUUUGAUCACAGUUCAGAGGAGUGGUUUCAGAAAUUUAUUCACUCUGAAAAGUAUGAAGUCUGUCUUUUCCUCCCAUUUUCUUCUUUCUUGGAAAAUUCCUAUGUUUAGGUACAACAUAUAUUCCUCCUCUUUCUCUUAUUCUUUUUUCUCUUUGAAGCAGCUAUAACUAUAAUCCAAUAUCUAAUUGCCUAUACCAAUUUGAAGUAUAUUGAGUAGCUUGUCAAUUGUCAAAAGCUUGAGAUAGCCGAUGACGGUAUGAGUUUGGUGCAAAAUAUCUUGCCCCUCAGCCAAAGGGGGUGCUAUUUAGAUUCUGGCAAACUUUACUGUGGGAAUCUUUUUUUUGUUUUCUUUGACGAAGAAAAUUUUAGAAAAUCUCUUUACUUGAAUUGAUAAGGAUUUGAAUGUCUACUCGAUUGUAUGCCCCUUUCAGGUAAAGGGAGGAGAUCCACUUUUACAGCUUAUUGCAGUUGACUGGUUUAAAGUUGAAAAUUGCAUCAGUAAGGUUGCAUUGCAUCCCAGUUCCCUUGUUCAGUCAGAAGCUGGUAAAAAACUCCCGUUCGUCCUCAUUGUUAAUCUUGAGGUUCCAGCAAGACCUAACUACAGCCUGGUUCUUUACUAAGCUGCUGACAGGCCUGUAAAUAAAAACUCUUUGCUGGGUAAAUUUAUUGAUGGGUCUGACAUGUUUCGGGAUUCCAGACUUAAACUAAUUCCAAGUAUUGUUGAGGGAUAUUGGAUGGUAAGGCGUGCAGUGGGAACAAAAGCUUGCUUACUAGGGAAAGUAGUUACUUGCAAGUACCUUCGACAAGACAAUUUUCUCGAGAUUGACGCGGACAUUGGCUCAUCAUCUGUCGCUAGGGGUGUCAUUAGUCUUGUCCUUGGAUAUGUGACGAGCCUCGUUGUUGAUCUUGCAAUUCUAAUUGAGAUCGUUAGCAUACCAAAUCGUACUCCAGAGAGUGAUCUGAAACUAAGGUAGCAAAACACGGCCACAAAAGGUCAUGUAGCAAUAAAGUUUGAAGAUUCUGCUAGAGUGCAUUAUAAAAUCUUACUCUUCAAAAUACAAUGUAAAGCGGCAAAGGAAACUUUUUAGUGUUACAUGUUGAAGUAUCUGCUGGAGGUACUCUAAUAUUCUCCUUAAGGUUUAGCUGGACAUUGACGGAAUAAGCUGAAUUGGCCAGGCUAAAGAAGAGGCGGAACUGCCAGAGUCCAUUCUUGGAACUGUUCGGCUAAAUCGCGUGAAGCUAGACUCUGCUGUAUACCUUGAAGUCUGAGAUACUUUUACACAUCGACAUGCUUGGAUUAUUGUUUUGCUGAGGCAAUGGCAUCAUAGCUACUGGGAUCAGUCAAAGGAUUUCCCGAUUCUGCUGUAAAAUAUUUUGCACAUUAUGUGGAUCUUCCGUCGAAAUUUCAAUAAAAGGUCGCCUUAUUUGGGUUCAAACUCGGCUAGUGUUUGGUCUGUGUAAUCAACGUAUAUUGGGUUUGUUGACAGGUUACAGAACUUGCUUUCAUAUCAAUUGGUAUUAGUUGAGUAUACGUACAAAUAUUAAGCAAGUCAACUGGGUUUAUCUCCUGGUUUACAUGAAUGAACUGACUGGAUUACAAUCAAUGAUACGACUCUUCAAAUUCUGGAAUA